rnacentral:rRNA from 1 species
GACGAACGCUGGCGGCGUGCCUAAUACAUGCAAGUCGAGCGAAGUUUUUCUGGUGCUUGCACCGGAAAAACUUAGCGGCGAACGGGUGAGUAACACGUAAAGAACCUGCCUCAUAGACUGGGACAACUAUUGGAAACGAUAGCUAAUACCGGAUAACAGCAUUAACUGCAUGGUUGAUGUUUAAAAGUUGGUUUUGCUAACACUAUGAGAUGGCUUUGCGGUGCAUUAGCUAGUUGGUGGGGUAAAGGCCUACCAAGGCGACGAUGCAUAGCCGACCUGAGAGGGUGAUCGGCCACACUGGGACUGAGACACGGCCCAGACUCCUACGGGAGGCAGCAGUAGGGAAU